GACGAACCGUGCGAACGUUGUUCGGAAUCACUGGGCUUAAAGGGCGCGUAGGCGGGUGGCAAAGUCAGGGGUGAAAUCUUUCGGCUCAACCGGAAAAUUGCCUUUGAUACUGGCCGUCUUGAGUGAGGUAGGGGCAUGUGGAACUUCCGGUGGAGCGGUGAAAUGUGUUGAUAUCGGAAGGAACGCCGGUGGCGAAAGCGACGUGCUGGACCUUUUCUGACGCUGAGGCGCGAAAGCUAGGGUAGCGAACGGGAUUAGAAACCCCGGUAGU
rnacentral:rRNA from 1 species